rnacentral:rRNA from 1 species
CGCAUCUGUGCAUGCAGCAUAUCAAUAAGCGGAGGAAAAGAAACUAACAAGGAUUCCCCUAGUAACGGCGAGUGAAGCGGGAAGAGCUCAAAUUUGAAAUCUUAAAGGGUUUCCCUUUACGAAUUGUAGUUUAAAGAAGUGUUUUCCUGUUGAGGUUUUGGUAAAAGUUCUUUGGAAUAGGACAUCAUAGAGGGUGAGAAUCCCGUAUUUGACCUUUACUUUCAACUUUGUGAUACACUUUCAAAGAGUCGGAUUGUUUGGGAAUGCAGUCCAAAAUGGGUGGUAAAUUUCAUCUAAAGCUAAAUAUCGGCGAGAGGACCGAUAGCGAACAAGUACCGUGAGGGAAAGAUGAAAAGAACUUUGAAAAGAGAGUUAAACAGUACGUGAAAUUGUCAAAAGGGAAGCGUUUGACACCAGUGUUGUUUUUCUGAAAAUCAAUUAAAGAACUGUUUAUGCUAAGCUGUUUAGACUUUAUCAGCUAUCUGUUUAGUUUUGAGCUUUUCUUUAAUGCACUUUUCAGUUAACAAGUCAACAUCAAUUUCUUUUGCUGUAAAAAAGCUUGAGGAAGGUGGCUUGAGAUUCGUCUUAAGUGUUUAUAGCCUCUUGCCUAUGCAGUCGGAGAGAUUGAGGUCUGCAGCGUAGAUCCUUCGGGGCUAAAUGCAUUUGUGCUAAGUUAUAGCAUUUUAUAGACAACUUGUUGACUAUGAUUUGUCUUGUAGCUUACUCGCUUAUGUUAUUUUACCUACGCUUAGGAUGUUGAAUCUGUGCGAGACUAC